GCCGUCGCGCAGAUUUGACGUUUUUGUCAUUUAGCAGAAGCUCUUAUCCAGAGCAAUAGAGUGCUUACAUUCUCAUACUUUUUUUCUGUCGGGCCGGGCGCAGUGCGCGCUAACCAAGAUGGCCAGGUGCACGGUGUUUCCUCUAACACAUUGGUGCGGCUGGGUUGGGUUGGAGGCGCGCUGUGUUAAGAAGCAGUGUGGGUUGUGUUUCGGAGGAAGCAGGGCUUUCGAGUUGUAGCGAUGAGACAAGAUGGAAAGGCAACCAAAGUGGGUCUUAGCUUUGGGUAUGACCAGUGAGAUAUACCUGUUUGAGCGCGUGCUACGGGUGGGUGUUGUUAUGUUGAUCAGUGAGCUGAGAUAAGGCGGAGCUUUACCUAGCAAAGACUUAUAGAUGACCUGGAGCCAGUGGGUCUGGCGACGAAUAUGUAGCGAGGGCCAACCGACGAGAGCAUACCAGUUGCAGUGGUAGGUGGUAUAAGGGGCUUUGGUUACAAAGCGGAUGGUACUGUGAUAGACUGCAUCCAGUUUACUGAGUAGGUGACGCAACAUAGAAUGCCUUGUGGAGAUUGAGCAAUGGAGAGUUGGCCCACAUCAGCCCAAAGGUUGUGGUGCUGUGGGUGGGCACCAAUAAUCAUGGUCACACUGCAGAGCAGAUCUGUGGAGGCAUCAUGGCCAUAGUCCAACUCAUCAAAGACGAGCUGACUUGCAGAGGACAUACUGAUAAAUAUCUCUGACACUGUGAUUCUGUAGCCGCUGAUGUUGUGACUUCCUACAAGCCUCUCGGGCUGGUGUUUACUCAACACUCGUUGCUGUGGGAUUAAUAUAUAAGUGCCUUCUCAGAGAAGCUUGUUAGACAUUCCUUUUGGCUUCUGUUCUGGAGAUGUUCUCUGUGAAUUCUUGUAAUAAACUGAAAUGAUUUAGAUUAAUAUGAUUGACUGCUCUCCCUGUUGUUCACCUCAAAAAUCCCCUUUGCAACCAUUAACCUUUUUGAUAACACAAACUUAAAUUAUGAACUGCAUACUUUAUGGACUCCAUUAUCAUUGCUAACCACAGCAACGAGUGGGCUGGAAGAAAAGCCUGCACUAAAGGCUUUCUAAAACCAGGGUUGGUAACCACUGCACCACUCCAUUCUAUUGGACCAUAAUGUAUGGGGCGGCAGGUAGCCUAGUGGUUAGAGCGUUGGACUAGUAACCGAAAGGUUGCUGGAUCAAAUCGCCGAGCUGACAAGGUAAAAAUCUAUCGUUCUAACCCUGAACAAGGCAGUUAAUCCACUGUUCCUACCCCGUCAUUGUAAAUAAGCAUUUCUUUACUGACUUGCCUAGUUAAAAAAUGUAGAGGACUGCUAAGCACUAAUAGGCUCAAACAUAUGUGUUGCUAGUCAGAAUUGACUGCUUAUCAGCAACUGAUUUGAUUGAGCUGAUUUGAGAGAUUAUCCUUCUCUUUAGUUUCAUGCUGUAUGGUGGAUAUGAUGAACAAUAUGCCAGGAUCUCUCUCCUCUGGCUGAUAGAUACAUUAUAAGAGCUUCCCCACAGAAAGGUUAGGAGAAUCUGAAAAGCUACCAUACUAAAGGUUUUUGUUUCCUCUGUCAAAUAACCGCAUUUCCUGUCUUUUUCUCUGCACUUUGAAAACAUAUGCAGUCCUAGUGACCUGAAUGGUUACUAAUAAUAUAAUUUCAAGUCCCUUUAAUGGUGUCAUAUGGGUUUAGACAGACCAUUUAUGUUGACGAUAAAACAAGGUGUUGUUUGGCUCUACUGUUAAAGCAUUACUUGUUUCCAGUAUCUGUUUACCACCGUUGCUUGUUGUUACAUGUGAAGAUUCCCUGAAUAUGUUGUAUUUUGGCUGUACCAAAAUAUGCAUAGUAGGGCAGAGACUGGUGGGUAUUUGACUUGGAUGAUACUGUAUGAUACUGUAGUCAGUGUGUAUGCAUGUGUUGUAGCGAGCUUAUUAUUUUCUUGCACUCUUUAUUCAAAGGCAGUCACCCCACGAGACCCAAGACUCCUUUAUAAAAGGCUGCUUUGACUGUUUGUAUAUACUUCUUACGACAAUGGUUGUGUUGUUAAUCUUGGAUUGUGGAAAAUAGGAAUGUGUGAUGUCAAAAUGCUAUGCAUUAAAAACCAAUGAAACCUUAA